UACGUAGGGCGCAAGCGUUGUCCGGAAUUAUUGGGCGUAAAGAGCUCGUAGGCGGUUUGUCACGUCGGCUGUGAAAACCCGAGGCUCAACCUCGGGCCUGCAGUCGAUACGGGCAGACUAGAGUGCUGUAGGGGAGACUGGAAUUCCGGGUGUAGCGGUGGAAUGCGUAGAGAUCCGGAAGAACACCGGUGGCGAAGGCGGUCUGCUGGGCAGUUGCUGACACUGAGGCGCGACAGCGUGGGGAGCAAACAGG
rnacentral:rRNA from 1 species